rnacentral:lncRNA from 1 species
AUCUCCUGUUUCUGGGACAUCGAUGUUACACAGAGAUUUUUCUCGACGGGUGAAAACAAUUUUGGGAGCACUCACCGUGUGCCAGGCACCGGCUAAACCUCGGAGAAUAAUGAACGUUGAGUCGCACAUCGGAGUGCAGCAAGGUCCUGGGACAGAGGAGAGAGAAGGGGAUUUCCGAAUUCUUCCUGAACAUUCCUGAUCAUCUCCGGGAAGCAGGCUUGCAGAUAAGUAUUUCAACUUACCAGCCCACAGCCUACCCACCUGCCCUCCCUCGGUCUGUGCAGGGAAGCGCAGAACUUCAGAAUUCCCGUGCGGGAGGUUAAAGGGGUGAUCAGCUUUUCUAGCCCUCUAAGUUACAAACAAAGACCUUGUCUGCAUUUCAUGGGGCCCCAGAGAGGGUGAUCGUCACACCCCUCUUUAACACGGAGGCUAGAAUUUUGUCAAUUCCACCAUCAGCAACUACCAUAGACUUGAGUUCAAUGACCUCAUCCCGAGAACCCAUGGAUCUAGGUGUCAGAAGGUCAGAAGGGGACUGGGGACUCCUGGUGGCUCUUCUCAGUGCUGGCCCUUUGUCGUCAUAUUUGUAAAACUUGGCCCAGGGCUCCUUUACCUGGCAGUGGAGCAGGGACAUUGGCACUGUGACUCUAGGGCCGUAUUCUUUCCUCCAGGUCUGGACCCGUGCCCUGAGUCCCAGGGGCCCAGAGCAAGCUCUGAACACACACUGAGAGGCGCCCUGACUCUCCUGGCCCAGCCCUGCCAGCCAGUGAAGAUAGCUUAGCCGUCACCAGAACUAAAACCGAGAGAGGAUUCUGGGUCAGGAUUAGCAGGCAUUCAAUGGGGGCAGAAAAGUAUCUAAGGCUGAGCCAUAGGGCCCCCCUAUUUCCUCUCCUCUGCUUCACACUGUGGGUUAGUAUUGUGUGCUCUGGGUGAACGCAGGUCUGGAAGGAUCCCAGGGCACAGAGAGAGAGAGAGAGAGAGGGACAGACUUCCCAGGGCUACACAGGACGGCUGAGCUGGAUCAGAACCCCGGAUUCCUGACUCUGUUCACUGCUUCUGCUCAGCUGUUGCCAAGCUGAAUUUGUCUUACAUUGUCCUGGGGCCCCUUCUGCUAUUGUUGGGGAACAGGGAGGGGGGUGAGGGAGACCCCCUUAUCCCAAGGACAUUCUGGGGUGGGAG